AGCGGCCAUUCUACAGCGAAGACUUCAACCCUUUUGUCACGAAGUCGUGCUGUUGUCUAAAAAGCUGUGCUCAUAAGAACGCGUGUAUUUUAAUAUUUGACAGAUGUCGCUCGUCGCUUAUCGUCGUCUAUGUGUUCAGAACUUUACAUUUAUUCAAAAAUUGAAAUUUUGAAAUUCAAAAAUAAACAAUUUUCAAAUCAAAAUAAAAUAUUUUUUAAAUGAAUAAAAGAAAAUGUCGAAUACUUUGUGCUUGUGCAAAACAACUCAUGGAAGCAAUUUACCAAGUUUUAGUGCUCCAACUGACAAAUUGCAACAAAUUUUAUCAAUACAUAUACAUAUAUUAUAUUGUUCAAGAUAAAAAAGACGGGUUAAUGUAAACAAAUACAUGAAUUGUUUACUAUUUUAUUGUCAAAAAAGGCUACUUUGGUGAUAAUUUUUAUAAAAUAAAUAUGCGGAAACAAUGUGGUGAAAGAAGCUCCUCUUUUCAACCAUGCCCACUUUAUCCCCGAAAGCCUGGGAUAGCAUACUAAAGUUUCCACCAUUGUUUUGCUCGCGUAUUUGGGGGUCUUUAUUGCAAUAGUGGUAUUAAUUUCAGGAUGUAAAAUAAUCUCACGAGCACUGGUUCAUGAUAUAUGAUGUAUAUAUGUAUGCAAGAAUGAUAGAAGACAAGAUUAUGUCAAUGACAAGAACAUGAACAAGAAAUGUGAAACAUAGUGAACCAAAUUGUAUAAUGUGCAGAUAAAAUAUCACAAUGAACGUAAUUCUUAAAAUCUUCAUCUGUAAAAUGAUCCAAUGUAAUAAUGCAUAUUUAUAAUUAAAAUCAUAUGUUUUGUUACAAAAAGUUCGCCAUUUUGCCAACUUUAUUGCUGGUUGGAAAAGUGAAAAAAAUUCUUUAUAGACGACUUUUUUGUACUAUUGUUGUUUAAUAAUUCCGCCAUUGCGGACUUCUUUUUCAAGUUAAUACAUUUUUCACUUAGAAUUUUAAAUAAUAAUUAAGCACUAGCCUUGACUUCAGCUCUUUGGUUUUAUUGUUUUGUACCAUCGUACAAUUUUGUUUUGCUCGCGUGUUCGGGGUCGUGAAAGUUGUCACUCAACAGGAACUCAAAGCCCAAAAAAGCUAACUGUAAACGCCUGUCGUAAUCAUGUCUCCUAUCAUUCUUGAUAUGUAUAUGAUUAAAUACAGGAAAAGAAAUGGCAAAUUGGUCCACAUGAUUGUAAGAUCAUACGUAUAUUAAGUCUCACUGCAAAGUUUAAUCUAUCUUCAAAAUCAUUAUUCAACUAGCAAUUUUUUUGUAGAAGCAAAACCUUCAAUAAGAAUCAAACACUCGAAAGCUAAAUUACAACAGAUUAGUCAUAAAACAGAACUUGACAAGUAUUGCUUGUACAUAAUUUAAGAAUCACAACACAUUUCACAAUUAUCUUUUCAUAGAACACUUGUUCUUAUUUUAUUUCUACGUUUUCUAAUGAACAUUUUCGCUCAAUUAUUUUGCAUGGGUUUGCGCCUUUCUCAUUUGAGUGAGGAUGUUGGACAGCUCCUCACGCUUCCUCUUUGCACGGAUGUGUGUGCCUAAGCGACGUUUCAAGAAUUUCAGGGCACGCUUAUCCUUUGAAACUUUCAACAAUUCCAUUGUUCU